rnacentral:rRNA from 1 species
UAAUCCUACGGGAGGCAGCAGUGGGGAAUAUUGGGCAAUGGGCGCAAGCCUGACCCAGCAACGCCGCGUGAAGGAAGAAGGCUUUCGGGUUGUAAACUUCUUUUCUCAGGGACGAAGAAAGUGACGGUACCUGAGGAAUAAGCCACGGCUAACUACGUGCCAGCAGCCGCGGUAAUACGUAGGUGGCAAGCGUUAUCCGGAUUUACUGGGUGUAAAGGGCGUGCAGCCGGAGAGACAAGUCAGAUGUGGAAUCCACGGGCUCAACCCGUGAACUGCAUUUGAAACUGUUUCCCUUGAGUGUCUGA